rnacentral:rRNA from 1 species
UACGUAGGGGGCAAGCGUUGUCCGGAUUUAUUGGGCGUAAAGAGCGUGUAGGCGGCCAGACAGGUCCGUUGUGAAAACUAGAGGCUUAACCUCUAGACGUCGAUGGAAACCGUUUGGCUAGAGUCCGGAAGAGGAGAAUGGAAUUCCGAGUGUAGAGGUGAAAUUCGUAGAUAUUCGGAGGAACACCAAUGGCGAAGGCGGCUCACUGGUCCAUUACUGACGCUGAGGUGCGAAAGCGUGGGGAGCAAACAGG